rnacentral:tRNA from 1 species
GUCUGUCUUCGACUACGCCCAGACACCGCCCUUUCACGGCGGUAACAGGGGUUCGAAUCCCCUAGGGGACGCCA